rnacentral:rRNA from 1 species
UACGAAGGGGCGAGCGUUGUUCGGAUUUACUGGCGUAAAGGGCGCGCAGGCGGCUCAUUUUGUCAGGCGUGAAAGCCCGGCUUAACCGGGAACUGCGUCUGAUACUGGAUGGCUUGAGUUCGGGAGAGGGAUGCGGAAUUCCAGGUGUAGCGGUGAAAUGCGUAGAUAUCUGGAGGAACACCGGUGGCGAAGGCGGCAUCCUGGACCGACACUGACACUGAGGAGCGAAAGCCAGGGAGCAAACGGG